UACGUAGGUGGCGAGCGUUAUCCGGAAUUACUGGGCGUAAAGCGCAAGCAGGCGGCCUAUUAAGUUUGACGUGAAAUCUCCCGGCUUAACCGGGAGGAGCCGUUGAAAACUGGUUGGCUUGAGGCGAUGAGAGGGGUGUGGAAUUCCCGGUGUAGUGGUGGAAUGCGUAGAUAUCGGGAGGAACACCAGAGGCGAAAGCGACACCCUGGCAUUAGCCUGACGCUGAGAUGCGAAAGCGUGGGGAG
rnacentral:rRNA from 1 species